AGCAGCCGCGGUAAUUCCAGCUCCAAUAGCGUAUAUUAAAGUUGUUGCAGUUAAAAAGCUCGUAGUUGAAUUUCGGGAUCAGUAGGUUGGUCGUGCCUACGGUACGUACUGGCUUCACUGGUUCCUCCCUUCUGACAAACCAUGAUGCCAUUAAUUUGGUGUUGUGGGGAAUCAGGACUGUUACUUUGAAAAAAUUAGAGUGUUUAAAGCAGGCUCGCGCUUGAAUACAUUAGCAUGGAAUAAUGAAAUAGGACGUUCGAUUCUAUUUUGUUGGUUUCUAGGAUUGACGUAAUGAUUAAUAGGGAUAGUUGGGGGCAUUAGUAUUCAAUUGUCAGAGGUGAAAUUCUUGGAUUUAUUGAAGACUAACUACUGCGAAAGCAUUUGCCAAGGAUGUUUUCAUUAAUCAAGAACGAAAGUUAGGGGAUCGAAGACGAUCAGAUACCGUCGUAGUCUUAACCAUAAACUAUGCCGACUAGGGAUCGGAUGAUGUUAAUUUUUUUAAUGUACUCAUUCGGCGCCU
rnacentral:rRNA from 1 species